UACGGGGGGGGCAAGCGUUGUUCGGAAUUACUGGGCGUAAAGGGUUUGUAGGUGGCCAACUAAGUCAGACGUGAAAUCCCUCAGCUUAACUGGGGAACCGCGUCUGAUACUGGUUGGCUUGAGUGCAGGAGAGGAAUGCGGAAUUCCAGGUGUAGCGGUGAAAUGCGUAGAUAUCUGGAGGAACACCGGUGGCGAAGGCGGCAUUCUGGACUGCAACUGACACUGAAGAACGAAAGCCAGGGGAGCAAACGGG
rnacentral:rRNA from 1 species